rfam:Dipodomys ordii contig_25726, whole genome shotgun sequence.
GGUGGCUCAGCGGUAGAGCACUUGCUUUGCAAUGCAUGAGGCCCUGGGUUCGAUUCCUCAGCACCA